GACGAACGCUGGCGGCGUGCUUAACACAUGCAGGUCGAACGAUGAACCCGGAGCUUGCUCCGGCGGAUUAGUGGCGAACGGGUGAGUAACACGUGAGUAACCUGCCCUUGACUCUGGGAUAACUGCUAGAAAUGGUAGCUAAUACCGGAUACGACCCUCGGUGGCAUCACCAGGGGGUGGAAAGAAUUUCGGUCAAGGAUGGACUCGCGGCCUAUCAGCUAGUUGGUGAGGUAACAGCUCACCAAGGCGACGACGGGUAGCCGGCCUGAGAGGGUGACCGGCCACACUGGGACUGAGACACUGCCCAGACUCCGACGGGAGGCAGCCGUGGGGAAUAUUGCACAAUGGGCGCAAGACUGAUGCAGGAACGCCGCGUGAGGGAUGACGGCCUUCGGGUUGUAAACCUCUUUUAGUAGGGAAGAAGCGAAAGUGACGGUACCUGCAGAAAAAGCACCGGCUAACUACGUGCCAGCCGCCGCGGUAA
rnacentral:rRNA from 1 species